rnacentral:rRNA from 1 species
ACUGCAAGUCGACGGAGUACCCGUCGUAAGGAAGUUUUCGGUACGAACUAGAUAGGACUACUUAGUGGCGACGGGUCGAGUAACGACGUGAGUAACCUGCCUUGGAUGGGAGUAACAGACUGGAACAGCUGCUAAUACCGCAUAAUAGCAUGGUCGGCAUGGCUCUGACUGCCAAAGAUUUAUCGCUCUGAGAUGGACUCGCGUCUGAUUAGCUAGUUGCGGGGUAACGGCCCGACCCAAGGCGACGAUCAGUAGCCGGACUGAGAGGUUGGCCGGCCACAUUGGGACUGAGACACGGCCCAGACUCCUACGGGAGGGCAGCAGUGGGGAAUAUUGGGCAAUGGGCGCAAGCCUGACCCAGCAACGCCGCGUGAAGGAAGAAGGCUUUCGGGUUGUAAACUUCUUUUCUCAGGGACGAAGAAAGUGACGGUACCUGAGGAAUAAGCCACGGCUAACUACGUG